rnacentral:rRNA from 1 species
CAGCCGCCACGGUAAUACGGAGGGUGCAAGCGUUAAUCGGAAUUACUGGGCGUAAAGCGCACGCAGGCGGUUUGUUAAGUCAGAUGUGAAAUCCCCGAGCUUAACUUGGGAACUGCAUUUGAAACUGGCAAGCUAGAGUCUUGUAGAGGGGGGUAGAAUUCCAGGUGUAGCGGUGAAAUGCGUAGAUAUCGGAAGGAACACCAGUGGCGAAGGCGGCUACCUGGACUGAGACUGACACUGAGGCGCGAGAGCGUGGGGAGCAAACAGGAUUAGAGACCCCUGUAGUCCCUGUCUCUUAUAA